rnacentral:rRNA from 1 species
UUCCGGCCAUAUCACGUUGAAACACCGGUUCUCGUACGAUCACCGAAGUUAAGCAACGUCAAGCCUGGUCAGUAUCUAGAUAGGUAACCGCUAG